GCUGACGUAGCUCAGCAGGCAGAGCACCUCCUUGGUAAGGAGGAGGUCGUGCGUUCGAAUCGCAUCGUCAGCU
rnacentral:tRNA from 1 species